rnacentral:lncRNA from 1 species
UCACAUUAGCAACAACCAUCCCGAUAUAGGGACACUGAUCCUUUAGGAGGUUUUAAUAUGUAUGUAGUUAAUUUCUAUAUAUUUAUUACCCAUGUAUUUUCUAUGUACAGUUAAUAUCUACAUACAGCAGCAAUAGUUGUUCAGUAUUACAAACUGUGAUGGAUAAUGUCUAAAACACAAAUGGGCAAAUAUAUAGAUUGGUUUUAUUUACACAUAUGAAAACAUGUGCCACAACAGUGCACUUAAAGCAGUUUACAAUCCAGAAAACAGAAUGUCAGUGCAGCUUACAAAAAUAGAAACACAUUAAUAAAAACAAUCAAUGUAAUGAUCUACCCCAUCUAGUGUCCACUGAACAGCCUAAGACUUCAGUUUGCUGAAACAGUAUCCAGGGUCGUAUGCAUUAAUGCACACAAGAGUUUCGGUCUAUUUUCUUCUGUUUAGUGACUGUCCUGCGCUGGUUACCAGAGGUCUGUUGUGGUAGGGUGGAGACUCAGGGUGGAGCUUAAUGUCCAAGUUGAAUCGUUGUGAAGACACCGUGACAGGAUCUGUGUGUAAAAUGAAUUCAAACAUAAAUCAUAUUGUAAAGUUACUAUCACACACACACACACACACACACACACACACACACACACACACACACACACACUGCAUUGGUUGAAACAAAUGCAACAUAAUAUGUAAAUUCACAAAUGCUUCGCAACAUGUCACAGUCGGCGACCCCGUCCCUGGCCCUCUUCCCCCAGCAGCAGGGGAAAGGGUCUCCGCUGGGGACUGGUUACCAGGUGAAAGGCUGCAUCUUCUGGAUCAAAAGCUGUACUUUGACAUCCCCAUAGACUUGUACAGGAUGUUAUUCUGCUCUAAACCCCCGGAGACAAUGCUUAUCUCCUACACAAAUCGACAGAUAGCAGACAUACAUGUUUUGAUACAAAAUGUUAACAAAAAAGUUAAUUAAGAUAAAAAGUCACAAUUUCCUAGUCCGUGAACCAAUCUUUUUUUUAGCUAUAAUUCCACAACUUCACUCCUGUCAUGCUCAAAUUAAUCACUAGAUGGCAUUUGUGAUGUAGCUGAAAUUAAAUGUUAUUUUGUCGCAUACACAUAUUUAGCAGACACCCCCCCUCCUCCCAGACGGUAGCGCUGCAGGAUAUGGUCAAAACAUCUAAUAGCGUUUUAGUUUUUAACCAAAUAUUGCGAUUUAGACCAUAAUUUGGGUGAAACCAUGAAUUUGAUGAAGUAUGCUUCUAGCCCGUUCAAAAUCAGUACUGGGUUUGCACCAAUAAGAAGCCUGAGAGAGAUAUAUAUUUAUAUGUUUUUUUUUAAAAGGCGGCAAAACAUGUUGGUUUGAAAUGGGUACUAAUGGAAACACAGAACAUUUCUGACCAUUUAAAAAAAAAUAUAUAUUGAAAUAUAAUUCACUUUCAUCAUUAGGGACAUAGUGAAUAAAUGAAACAUGAAAAAUGCUAGUAAUUUUCUAAACAAUUACGUUACCUGUUGACAUGUAUCCCCCAUUGUUUUCUGUCUGUGCUGCAUGGUCUGUGUAUUCCUGGAAAUAAAUAUCCAAUUCCAUGCUUCUGCGUGUCGUUCUCCUGUCCGAGUGAAUGAGAGGCUCAGACCCAGACUUCAUGUCGUUGAAAACGGACUCCAGCUACUGACCACCCCGCACUGUCCAUCCAGCGGUGACGAGGAGGCGCGACAAGCACACUUUCUGGCGCAAUUUCUACAGACUUCAUGAUUGGAAGAAUGAGUCUGUCAAAUCAAAUUUGAUUGGGUCACAUACAUGCUCUGACUCUGCAGUUUAUAUAUCCCAGCUACACUUGAGUAGGAAGUGAAUCCAUAUCAGAAACAAAAGGACAACUAGACUUCACUUUUUCUUCAUUCACCACAUAUUUCAUCUGAUGGGCAUCAGUCACUCCAGAAAUAUUUGUAAUCUCUGAAACAUCUUGACGUUUCGCCAGAUCGAGGUAUACGAUAAAAUCGCUAUGCAGUUUUUACUUGGAAAAAGUUGCUGCAUUCAAACCAAAUACGAACUCGGAAGAAUAUGAGGUAAAAUCUUGACGUCAGUCAACUUCAAAUCGAAAAGUCGGAACUCUAGAAAGAACAAAUAAGCCCGAUUCCCGAGUUUGAUGACUGUUGAAAUCGAUUUUCCCCCAGUCGGAGCUCUUUUUUUUCCCGAGUUCCCAGUUUUUUUUUUAACACACUGAAGUCGGAGAUUUGAGUUCCCAGUUGUUUUGAACACAGCAUUAAUUUGAGGGGAAAAACUGACAGUGACGAUUUUAAGACAGCGACCGAUGACGCAAUUCAUCAGCGACAUAAAUAGACGUCGAGGCGUGACUUAACAUGGGUGGGGUAAUUAGCCUAACUUUGGUGGUAUCCUAAGCAAAGUGACGCUUUUUUUUUGUCAUUUCAAUAAACGUUUUCAGCAGCCUCACGUUUCGUUAUUAAAAUUGCCAACUUGGCUGUUACAACAACAAGUGAUUUACAUGUGCCACUAAUCUGUUACGCGACGUACUAACACUGACAGAGAAGCUGUCGCAUACUUACGCCACCGUUUGUUUACCCCUAGUAAUUAUUUUUGUUGCCAAUUAGCUGACGUUAGCUGGCUGGCUAACGAAAUAAAUUACUAUCGAUCUAAUCAUCUAGUUUUAGAUAUGUCAAGUAACUACGUCCAUUCUGUGCCUGCCCUUGAACGGUCGAGGUAUUUACAAAAGUUUAUUCUUAUCGGCUUGCCUGUAUGUCCUUUCAACUUCCUGGAGACCACCUGGGGAGACAAACCUACCAAAAUGCCCAAAGUAGUCUAUGUUGACGUCAACACCAAUUUGGUGGAAUCUCCAGAUUUGCAUAAAUUUCCAAAUGCAGAAUAAUAUUACAGCUGUAACUUGGUCGGAUACAGCUCACUAGUCCUUACUACAAGCUAACUAGCAAUAUUUAUGCAAUACACAUAGUUAGUUAGAUACACAAGUGUGAGCGAUUUACCGGUGAUGAAGUACUAAGAACACAGAAAUGUAUCGAGUAACCGCAGCCCAAAGCUUUACAUCAUCAUCGUCGUGGCUUAAUAGCCUGAAACCAUGAGGCUGCAAUCCACUCCCAGUUAGAUGGGGUUUGUCCAGGCCUCCAUCAGCUACACAAUGCCCUGGGGGACGGGAAGGACAUCCAGGACUCCCUGGCAGAAGUCCGCAAUGACUGGAGACACAGGAUCAACACCAUUGAGAAUUCAAAGGACGUAAAAUAUGCUUGGAUGCAACACAGUCAGCUUGCUUCAGCCGUGGAGAACCUGAAUAAUAUAUUUUCAUGUACACUACAUGACCAAAUAUAUGUGAACACCCCUUCAAAUUAGUGGUUUCUGGUUAUUUCAGCCACACCCGUUGCUGACAGGUGUAUAAAAUCGAGCACACCGCCAUGCAAUCUCCAUAGACAAACAUUGGCAGUAGAAUGGCCUUAGUGAAGAGCUCAGUGACUUUCAACGUGGCACUGUCAUAGGAUGCCACUUUUCCAACAAGUUAGUUUGUCGAAUUUCUGCACUGAUAGAGCUGCCCCGGUUGACUGUAAGUCUAGGAGCAACAAUGGCUCAGCCACGAAGUGCUUGGCCAGGCUGUAUCACAACCGGCCGUGAUUGGGAGUCCCAUAGGGCAGCGCACAACUGGCCCAGCAUGGUCCGGGUUUGGCCGGUGUAGGCCGUCAUUUUAAAUAAUAAUUUGUUCUUAACUGACUUUCCUAGUUAAAUAAAAAAUAAAAACGACUAGUGUUGAAGCGCAUAAAAAGUAUCUGUCCUCUGUUGCAUCACUCACUACCGAGUUCCAAACUGCCUCUGGAAGCAACGUCAACACAAGAACUGUUCAUCGGGAUCUUCAUGAAAUGAGUUUCCAUGGCCGAGCAGCCGCACACAAGCCAAAGAUCACCAAACGCAAUGCCAAGAGUUCUCUGGGGUGAUGGAUCACGCUUCACCAUCUGCCAGUCCGUUUGGCGGAUGCCAGGAGAACACUACCUGCUCCAAUGCACAGUGCCAACUGUAAAGUUUGGCGGAGGAGGAAUAAUAAUCGGAGGCUUUUUUUCAAGGUUCGGGCUAAGCCCCUUAGCUCCAGUAAAGGGAAAAUUUAACAGCAUACAAUACUUUUGUAUAUAUACGGUAGUGCCUCACUGAUGCUACAUGACCUGACGACCAACAAUAUUGUUUCCCUCCUCAUCUGGGUUCUCAAUUAAUACUUACAAAAGUAAGUAUGAACUGCCCUCUCUGUGACUCAUGUAGAGGGCCCUGUGUUUUGGUUUCUCAUGUCACGUGAACAGGAUUUGAACCAGGGCCCUAUACAUGAGUCACAGAGAGGGCCGUACAGACUUACUUUUGUAAGGACCUAGGUGAGGAGGGACACGACUGUGUUAUUAUGUAACUCGUUCAAGCCACUGUCAGCUAAAAAAUAAAUCAAUUCAAAUGCUAUAUACCCCUUGAUUAUGGCUUAUACCAGGUGUCUUUAACAUUUUAACCAGCUUUCAAAUACCAACAUUCUUCUCUUCCUCUGCUCCUUAAUGUACAAGAAAAAGUAGUGCACUAUCUUGUCAACUCUUCCCCUGGUCCUUAGUGUACAAUAGAAAGUAGUGCACAAUGUUGUCAACUCUUCCCCUGGUCCUUAGUGUACAAUAGAAAGUAGGGAACUAUGUUUCUGUCAAUAUACCUGGUAAAAUAAUGGUUAAUAAACAACUCUAAAGGGGCCGUAUAACAUCUCUUUUCCCAAAAUAGUUUUAUAUUUUCCUAAAUAGAUUUCUCAGUUUAAUUUUUCCUGGUUACAGUUCAUAUAAAUUCAUUCGGCCCUAAUCUAUGGAUUGCACAUGACAGGGAAUGCAGACAUGCAUCUAUUGGUCACAUAUACCUUUAAAAAAUGUAGGGGCCUGGAUCAGAAAACCAAUCAGUAUCUGGUGUGACCACCAUUUGCUUCAUGCAGCGCGACACAUCUCCUUCACAUAGAGCUGAUCAGGCUGUUGAUUGUGGCCUGUGGAAUGUUGUCCCACUCCUCUUCAAUGGCUGCGCAAAGUUGCUGGAUAUUGCCGGGACCUGUCAGCAACGGGCAGUGGUGGAAAAAGUACUCAAUUUUUAUACUUGAGGAAAAGUAAAGAUACCUUAAUAGAAAAUGGCUCCAGUAAAAAUGAAAAUCACCCAGUAAAAUACUAAUUGAGUAAUAGUCUAAAAGUAAAUUGAAUUGCUCAAAUGUGCUUAAGUAUCAAAAGGAAAAGUAAAAACCAUUUCAAAUUCCUUAUAUUAAGCAAACCAGACAGCACCAUUUUUUUAAAAUUAUUUUUUAAUUUACGGAUAGCCAGGGGCACACUCCAACACUCGGACAUCAUUUACAAACAAAGCAUUUGUGUUUAGUGAGUCCUCCAGAUCAAAGGCAGUAGGGAUGACCAGGGAUGUUCUCUUGAUAAGUGUGUAAAUUGGACCAUUUUCCUGUCAACAUGUAACGAGUACUUUUGGGUGUCAGGGAAAAUGUAUGGAGUAAAAAGUACAUUUAUUUUCUUUUGGAAUGUAGUGAAGUAAAAGUAGGCAAAAAAUGUGAAUAGUGAAGUACAGAUACCCCAAUAAAACUACUUAAGUAGUACUUUAAAGUAUUUUUACUGAAGUACUUUACACCAUUGACUGCAAGUAUUGUGUGACCUGCAGAGUCAAGAGGAUGGGCAGAUGUCCGGCCCCCCAGUAACCUUCCUAUCAACCUAUCAGGUCACAGAGAGUUUGAGAGGCAGGUUUAUGGUACCUCCCUAGAGACUCUCAGGCUCUGAUAAGUCACCGGCAUGGAAUUAGUAACAGUCAAUGUCUUUAAACUCUGAUUACUUAAAGGGCUGUGAAAAAGAUGAACACAAUAUUGGGAUUCAAACCAGGGGCGUAUUCAUUACACUGAUUGUGUUGUAAAACGUUUAUUAAACAGAAGCAAACUGUCACGCCCUGACCUGAGAGAGACGCUUUUCUCUGUUUGGUUAGGUCAGGGUGUGACAUGGGGUGGGCAUUCUAUGGGUUAUAUUUCUAUGUUGUGUUUUUUCCUUUGAUUGGCCGAGUAUGGUUUCCAAUCAGAGGCAGCUGUCUAUCAUUGUCUCUGAUUGGGAAUCAUACUUAGGCAGCCUUCCCUCCCACCUGUGUUUGUGGGUAAUUAUUAUUUCUGUGAGUGUUUUGUGUGUGUGCGCCACAGUGGGGUCACGGUUCUUUCUGUUUUUGUUUGGUUGUCUUCAAUGAAGUAUGUGGAAUUACCGGCACACUGCCCCAUGGCUGAUCUAUGACAGGGAGUUUGAGGACAGUGAACGUGACACAAACGGAACAAAAUGGGGAGAAACCAACCUGAAUUUGUCCAAGAGAAACUCUAUUUGCUUCUUAAAUGAUUUCCUGGUGCAUGUUGGAUCUUCUGGGCCUUUUCCAGUCAUAGAGGACACAACUUGCAGCUGUGCACCUCAACGAAGACCUCUACUGAAUUGUGGCUAGGAUAUGGUUGUAGUACUUCAGGGGGAGUUGGUGGUGCGGAGGGCCUAGUAGAUCAGAAUGAAGCCCUUAUUGGUUGUCACUGGCAAAGACUGUCCUACACCCUGAUUGUAGGAAGGUGGUGAAACAUUACGGUACUAAAACCCAGAGACAAAUUGCUUGUAACAGAGUAAUUACACAUUAUUGGGGUUAGUGUUGAUUUCAUGUUAGGCUCACCAAUACCCGUCUUCCCCAAAGAUUGUAAAUCAACCCCUUUUUAAACGUAUAUGUAGCACAGGAGGUUGGUGGCACUGUAAUUUGGCAGAAUGGGCUUGUGGUAAUGACUGGCGCGACAUCAGUGGAAUUGGUAUGAAACACAUGGUUUCCAGGUGUUGGAUGCCAUUCCAUUUGCUCCGUUCCAGACAUUAUGAGCCCUCCUCCUGUGAUGCCUAUAUUAUAAUGACAGGCAAAUGGGUCAACAUGGCCCAGUUCUCAUUGUAUACAACAGGCUGCCCCACUUCAAGAAACUUUUGGAAUGAACUUGAUUUGUCUUGUCCUGACCAGUAAAAGGGGUUAUUGUAGUUUGGUCAGGACGUGGCAGGGGUUUGUUUUGUUUAGUGCGUUUCAGGGUUUUUGGUUUAUCUUUUCUAUUUCUAUGUGGGUUUUCUAGUUUGUCUAUUUCUAUGUUAGUUUUGGGAACGACCUCCAAUUAGAAGCAGCUGGUUGUCGUUGCUUCUAAUUGGAGGCCAUAUUUAAGUGGGUUUAUUUUCUCUUGUGUUUGUGGGUGGUUGUUCCAUGUAUAGUCAUUGUACUGUUCAGGACUGGUUUUCGUUGUGCUUUUGGUCAGUGUUCAUGUCUUUAAUAAAUCAAGAAGAUGAUUC